rnacentral:lncRNA from 1 species
AUGGUGGUCUUCAAAAGAUGCAACAGGAUGCAAUGGCAGUUGACAAUGGGGUAACUGUUGGAACAAUCCUGUGGCAAGUUUACCACCCUGAAUAUCCCAGAACUUGGAGUGAAGCUUUGCAUCCCCUGGGAUGGCAGAGCCAAGAAAAACCAUGAGGACGGAAGCACUGUGAGUACCGGCAGGGUCAGCCCAACAAGGGUCAGUAAGAACUUCCCUUUUCAAAAGAUAAAGCGGUUCACAUAGACAGCUGUGGUGGACUCUUUCUGCUGCCUGUCCAACAGACUUCUGCACAUUUCCUAAGGACAGAACCGCAUUUUUGUACUAGAGCAGAGAUUCCGUGACAUCAGGAGAAGAGGCCCUUCCCCCAAUCCCAGGAGCCAAUAAACUCAUUCUUCUUUGCAAUUGUACAAUGACAUGCACAGGGAAGUCUUCCUUUCCAGGGUAUAAAGCACCAUUAGGAGAAAGUUUUUGGUUUGCCUUGGCCCUUAUUUUUUGUUUUGGGGAUUUUGCGUGUGACAACAUCACUCCUGAGCUGUGGCAGCCAUCUUACCAUCAUGAGGAAACCGCCACGGGGAUAAAAAGCCAGUCCUCUGAGGACCUGGAAGAAAGGACAGAACCUGGCUCCCAAGGCAUCACUGAGACCCAAAUCAACAGUAAGUAAGCACAGCACCUACUCCUGGGCUUCUUUUUAUGAGAGAAAAAAAAAGUUCCCAUUUGUGUAAAUUCCCUGCUCUGGAAGCAACCAAUGUUACUGUUUCUGAUGCUUUUCCAGAGGUAAUUUAUGCAUAUUCAAACAAAUAUAUAUAAAUAGAUUCCUUUGACCAGAAGAAUGAGCGCUCCUUUGCCUUAUCUUCAUUAUAAUACUAAAAAUCACACCGGGGUGGAGACUUGAAUCUCUGAGUACCACGGACAGU